CCUACGGGUGACAGCAGUGAGGAAUAUUGGUCAAUGGACGAGAGUCUGAACCAGCCAAGCAGCGUGAAGGAUGACUGUCCCAUGGGUUGUAAACUUCUUUUAUAUGGGAAUAAAAUAGGGCAUGCAUACCUUCUCGUAUGUACUAUAAGAAUAAGCAUCGGCUAACUCCGUGCCAGCAGCCGCGGUAAUACGGAGGAUCCGAGCGUUAUCCGGAUUUAUUGGGUUUAAAGGGUGCGUAGGUGGAUUGUUAAGUCAGUUGUGAAAGUUUGCGGCUCAACCGUAAAAGUGCAGUUGAAACUGGCAGUCUUGAGUACAGUAGAGGUGGGCGGAAUGCGUGGUGUAGCGGUGAAAUGCUUAGAUAUCACGCAGAACUCCGAUUGCGAAGGCAGCUUACUAAGCCAUAACUGACACUGAGGCACGAAAGCGUGGGGAUCAAACAGGAUUAGAUACCCUUGUAGUC
rnacentral:rRNA from 1 species